GGACAGGUGAGGAGACCUGGAGAACAGUAAUGGACAGGUGAGAACAGUAAUGGACAGGUGAGGAGACCUGGAGAACAGUAAUGGACAGGUGAGGAGACCUGGAGAACAGUAAUGGACAGGUGAGGAGACCUGGAGAACAGUAAUGGACAGGUGAGAACAGUAAUGGACAGGUGAGAACAGUAAUGGACAGGUGAGGAGACCUGGAGAACAGUAAUGGACAGGUGAGAACAGUAAUGGACAGGUGAGAACAGUAAUGGACAGGUGAGGAGACCUGGAGAACAGUAAUGGACAGGUGAGAACAGUAAUGGACAGGUGAGGAGACCUGGAGAACAGUAAUGGACAGGUGAGGAGACCUGGAGAACAGUAAUGGACAGGUGAGGAGACCUGGAGAACAGUAAUGGACAGGUGAGGAGACCUGGAGAACAGUAAUGGACAG